rnacentral:rRNA from 1 species
GGUCUGAGAGGAUGGUCAGCCACACUGGGACUGAGACACUGCCCAGACUCCUACGGGAGGCUGCAGUCGAGAAUCAUUGUCAAUGCACGAAAGUGUGAACAUGCGACGCCGCGUGGAGGAAGACGGCCUUUGGGUUGUAAACUCCUGUCAGCAGGGAAGAAAGAUAGCUUUAUUAAUACUUUUGCUAUUUGACGGUACCUAGAGGAAGUCACGGCUAACUCUGUGCAGCAGCCGCGGUAAUACAGAGGUGGCAAACGUUGUUCGGAUUUACGGGGCGUAAAGGGUCCGCAGGCGGUCUUGUGUGUCAGAUGUGAAAGCCCACGGCUCAACCGUGGAAUUGCAUUUGAAACUGCAAGACUAGAGUACUGGAGGGGAGAAGGGAACACUUGGUGUAGCGGUGAAAUGCGUAGAUAUCAAGUGGAACACCGGCGGCGAAGGCGCUUCUCUGGACAGAUACUGACGCUCAUGGACGAAAGUUAGGGUAGCGAAAGGGAUUAGAUACCCCUGUAGUCCUAACCGUAAACGGUGUGCACUAGACGUGGGAGGCUUUACCCCCUUCCGUGUCUGAGCUAACGCAUUAAGUGCACCGCCUGGGGAGUACGGUCGCAAGAUUAAAACUCAAAGGAAUUGACGGGGACCCGCACAAGCGGUGGAGCAUGCGGCUUAAUUCGAUGCAACGCGAAGAACCUUACCUGGGCUUGACAUAUAGCUGCAUACGAUCCGAAAGGAACGUAGCCUUCGAGGGUGCUAUACAGGUGCUGCAUGGCUGUCGUCAGCUCGUGCCGUGAGGUGUUGGGUUAAGUCCCGCAACGAGCGCAACCCCUGUGUUUAGUUGCCAGCACGUAAUGGUGGGAACUCUAAACAGACUGCUGGUGAAAGCCAGAGGAAGGUGGGGAUGACGUCAAGUCAGUAUGGUCCUUAUGUCCAGGGCUGCACGCGUGCUACAAUGGGAUGUACAAUGGGAGGCUAAGCCGCGAGGUGGAGCAAAUCCUCAAAACAUCCCCCAGUUCGGAUUGUAGUCUGAAACUCGACUGCAUGAAGUUGGAAUCGCUAGUAAAGGUAUAUCAGCUAUGAUACCUUGAAUACGUUCCCGGGUCUUGUACACACCGCCCGUCACAUCAUGGAAGUUUGUUGCACCCGAAGUUGUUGAUCCAACCUCUCACGAGGAGGAAGGCACCUAAGGUGUGAUAGGUAACUGGGAU